GGGUUGUGAGGUUAAGCGACUAAGCGUACACGGUGGAUGCCCUGGCAGUCAGAGGCGAUGAAGGACGUGCUAAUCUGCGAAAAGCGUCGGUAAGGUGAUAUGAACCGUUAUAACCGGCGAUGUCCGAAUGGGGAAACCCAGUGCAAUUCGUUGCACUAUCGUUAACUGAAUACAUAGGUUAACGAGGCGAACCGGGGGAACUGAAAC
rnacentral:rRNA from 1 species